CAUACGGUCAACAGUCAUCAAAGUAUUUCAAACUGUUAAUACUAAAUAUGCCUACUGUGCUUAUAAUAUGUGAUCACGGUUUUUUUUCUUCGAUUUAUAAUAGAAACAGAAAAUAUACUUACAGUUUUUAAACACCAGAGUCUUUAAACAGAAACUGACAUUUAUCAAGAUGUCUUGUGAUAUCGAUCUUCAACGACAAGAGGAUGAACUAACUGUAAUUUCUAGUAUUUACGACGAAACAGAAUUUUUUCACGUGAAAGUCAGCAAGGGUACAAAAUGCUCAGUCACCAUACAUCCAAAAAUCCUUAAAAAACUAGAAGUAAAGUUUAGUAGCGGUUGUUCUUCCGAUGUGGUUCCCAUCAAUAGUACCUUUAUAGAAUAUCUACCGCCAAUCAGGAUGUACAUUUAUCUCCCUAGUACAUAUCCGUCUAAAACGCCACCAGAAUUUCGUCUUUCUAUUGUUUGGUUAUCACUUUGGGAGAUAUCUUUUAUUUGUCAGAAAUUGGAUGAAAUAUGGGAAGAGAACCAGAGCAACGAGAUCAUCUUCCAGUGGCUAAAUUUUCUACAAAACGAUCUUUUCAGUUUUCUAAAUAUAUCGGAAUCCUUAGACGUUUCUUUUUUACAUUUAAUUCACACAUCACAAGAUAAUGUCACACUACGUCUAGCCACGUUAUCGGAUUUCAGAGCUCAGAAUGGUGCAUUGUUAUUAGAUAUCAAAAGAUUAUUAAUAUCUUAUGAUAAAAGGCAACGUAAAACACAAUUUGUCAAGAACUUUUAUACUUGCUAUAUAUGCUUCGAGGAAUAUGCAGGACUAAAUUGUAUAGAAUUGGAAAACUGUGGGCAUGUCUACUGCAAAAGUUGCAUGGAGAAACACAUACGUAUUAGGAUCAUCGAAAGUAUUAAUGAGAUAUUGUGUCCAACGAUAGACUGUAAGCGCCAAAUAAGCGAGAAUGACGUUAAAGCUCUCUGUCCGGACUUGUUUUUCCAAUACGAAGAAAUCAUGUUGCGAGUAACGUUAGACACCAUGGACGAUGUAGUGUACUGUCCAAAAAUUUCUUGUCAAUAUCCAGUUAUCAGAAACCCGGAUGAUAUCGCACCGAUCUGUCCUGUUUGUAAAUACUGUUUUUGCAUCUAUUGCCGUAAGAUGUACCAUGGACAAGCACCCUGUGAAAUGACAUCAACCGAUACUAUAAAGCUCAUUGAUGAGUACAAGAAUAGCAGCAAUAAUAAGAAAAUGAUGUUAGAGAAGAAAUAUGGCAAGCGUCAAAUACAAUCAAUUGAAAGAUAUCUUACGACUGAAUAUCUACAAGAUAAUGCGAAAAGUUGCCCGAAAUGUCAUUCUUUCAUUAGCAAAACCGAGGGUUGCAAUAAAAUGACGUGUAGGCAUUGCCAAACUUUAUUUUGUUGGCUGUGCAACGAACAGAUAUAUGGAUAUGAGCAUUUCAACAACAUCGACAAUAAUAUCGACCAAUGCAAUGUUCUAUGUCAACACUCACAUACUUCUCUGUACAUGAACUUCGAUAUUUGCUUCUGUGACUAAUUGUUCUGCAACAAUAGAGACUGCAGAUUCGCGUCUCUGUAGAUUCGCGACAAUAUCUAGGAGCGAUUAUAAAAAAUGAGGACCGAAUAUGCAGUAUCCAAUGCACGCUCCAAUUACGAGGGCGAUAGUGAUGUAUGCGUUGUACGUCAUAACAGCCAA